AACUGCAUCAUAGCUGGUGGGAGAUUCUGGCAUUUGAGACUUCCAUAUUGGCAGCUGAGCAGAGACACAGUCAGUUGCUAUUUCGGUAGAAAAUCUAAUGCAACUUUGUCAGGAAAUCUCCUACAAAAGACACUUGAAAAAAUGCAUAUCCAUAACAGUUUUAUUUACUGAUAAACAACGGCACUGCUGCAGAAUUGUCCGAAAUCUGUGAAGGAAUGAGAGAGGCCCAGCCCCCAGAAACACUCCCCUCCAGUGAUCGUUUUUUCCAGUGUCUGAUAAACAGUAAACUCGUCAAAUUCAGGUCACAUUGGCCAUCAAAUCAUAAGAUCAAGACAGGAACCUCGCUGUCCAGUGCACAGUACUACAACACACCGCCUGUGAGAGUCUGUGGCAAGCCUACAGAAUGGGACAUCACCUUGAUACUACAACAAAAAAACAAGAUAGAUCCAGGGCUGUGUAGGAACCAGAAUGUUUUUUCAGAGCAUGCAAAAAACGGAGAGCUAGC